rnacentral:rRNA from 1 species
GUGGGGAAUUUUGGACAAUGGGCGCAAGCCUGAUCCAGCAAUGCCACGUGCAGGAAGAAGGCCUUCGGGUUGUAAACUGCUUUUGUACGGAACGAAACGGUCCGGGUUAAUACCCUGGGCUAAUGACGGUACCGUAAGAAUAAGCACCGGCUAACUACGUGCCAGCAGCCGCGGUAAUACGUAGGGUGCAAGCGUUAAUCGGAAUUACUGGGCGUAAAGCGUGCGCAGGCGGUUUUGUAAGACAGGCGUGAAAUCCCCGGGCUCAACCUGGGAAUGGCGCUUGUGACUGCAAAGCUGGAGUGCGGCAGAGGGGGAUGGAAUUCCGCGUGUAGCAGUGAAAUGCGUAGAUAUGCGGAGGAACACCGAUGGCGAAGGCAAUCCCCUGGGCCUACACUGACGCUCAUGCACGAAAGCGUGGGGAGCAAACAGGAUUAGAAACCCCAGUAGUCC